CCUCCUUUCUUGGCGUACUCGUGUUUUCCCGUACACGUGUGUGUAUGUGAUGGAGGAAUAUCAGAGUCCAGUGCUAUGUCUUCGGUGCCAGAAAGUCAGCCAUCUUCUGGUUCUAUCCUCAAUCACUGGCACAUUC
ensembl:snoRNA